GAUGAACGCUGGCGGCGUGCCUAAUACAUGCGAGUCGAGCGAACGGACGAGAAGCUUGCUUCUCUGAUGUUAGCGGCGGACGGGUGAGUAACACGUGGAUAACCUACCUAUAAGACUGGGAUAACUUCGGGAAACCGGAGCUAAUACCGGAUGAUAUUUUGAACCGCAUGGUUCAAAAGUGAAAGACGGUCUUGCUGUCACUUAUAGAUGGAUCCGCGCUGCAUUAGCUAGUUGGUAAGGUAACGGCUUACCAAGGCAACGAUGCAUAGUCGACCUGAGAGGGUGAUCGGCCACACUGGAACUGAGACACGGUCCAGACUCCUACGGGAGGCAGCAGUAGGGAAUCUUCCGCAAUGGGCGAAAGCCUGACGGAGCAACGCCGCGUGAGUGAUGAAGGUCUUCGGAUCGUAAAACUCUGUUAUUAGGGAAGAACAUAUGUGUAAGUAACUGUGCACAUCUUGACGGUACCUAAUCAGAAAGCCACGGCUAACUACGUG
rnacentral:rRNA from 1 species